ACUAUUCCACUUGUUCUCUGGAGCCUAGCAGUUCAGAGGCCUGUAGUGGCAGAAGGCAGAUGCUUCCCUUUGGCAGCCAAACAAAGGAGGAUGAGCCAAUCCAGACACCCCACCCCCAGAGCCACAUUGCUGCUUGCACCGUCACAGCUGUUAACUUCGCUGCUGUCCAGUGUGCUUGCAUGGAGAGGGGGUGACCCGUGGCUGGCUGCAGCACAGAGGAAUGCGGCUGUCAAGUGGUUAACCAAUUGCAAUGGGAGGCACAUUAAUUUCCGCUCCACUGUGAGGAGGAACCCUGUUUAUUAAAUGGAAUGUCACCAGACCAGAGGGGAAAUGUCCCUGUCAGCCUCAAAGAGGGUGUGCUGGCUCCAAAGACUCACUUGAAAGCUACUCUGUGCCCUUCUGGGGUCAGGAAGGCUGAGAACUACAUGCUGGAUCCCACUGGUAACAAGACUGCAGCAUGCAGGUUUGUUUAAAAAAGCACAAUGCAAGCAUUUCGGGAUCAAGGGCUACUUCCCCAUUUUUGUGCUGGAGGACGAAGUACACUUGUUCCUGGCUUUCUUAGAAUUACGACCUUGGAAUGAGACUCAAGGCAAACUCCUCAUUGGGAAGCCUGUGUAAGGCCCACACUUGGUACAGGAUGCCCAGAACUCACAGCUGUGUUAAAGUAUUUGGCAGGUAUUUUAUUC